CCAUACUAGACGGGGAGCUAGCGGCACCCUCAUGCUUGCAAUCCGCUAUAGCAAGGUUGAAUUCCCGGUUGCGGCUUAUCCUUGUAUGGUCUGCCUCGGAAAAGUGGCGUUGAUGAUUGGGUCCUACGCAACAAAUGCUUUUGAACCGUGUCAGGUCUUGACGGAAGCAGCACUAAGGAAGAUGUUUUGUGUGCCGUAUGGGUCGCCUAGUCUGAGUUAACUCUCCGGGUACCGCAUAUAAUCGAUAAGACAAGGCCGGGUGUAUGG
rfam:Clostridiales bacterium S5-A11 contig043, whole genome shotgun sequence.